rnacentral:rRNA from 1 species
UACGGAGGGUGCAAGCGUUAUCCGGAUUCACUGGGUUUAAAGGGUGCGUAGGCGGGUAGGUAAGUCAGUGGUGAAAUCCUAGAGCUCAACUCUAGAACUGCCAUUGAUACUAUUUAUCUUGAAUAUUGUGGAGGUAAGCGGAAUAUGUCAUGUAGCGGUGAAAUGCUUAGAUAUGACAUAGAACACCUAUUGCGAAGGCAGCUUACUACGCAUAUAUUGACGCUGAGGCACGAAAGCGUGGGGAUCAAACAGG